rnacentral:rRNA from 1 species
GAGUUUAAGCAUAUCAAU